CCUACGGGUGGUGCAAGCGUUGUUCGGAAUUAUUGGGCGUAAAGAGCGUGUAGGCGGCGGGAUAAGUCAGAUGUGAAAGCCCUGGGCUCAACUCAGGAAGUGCAUUUGAUACUGUUUCGCUUGAGUACUGGAGAGGGAAGAGGAAUUCCUGGUGUAGAGGUGAAAUUCGUAGAUAUCAGGAGGAACACCGGUGGCGAAGGCGACUUCCUGGCCAGAUACUGACGCUGAGACGCGAGAGCGUGGGGAGCAAACA
rnacentral:rRNA from 1 species